UGAAUAUGACUCCAAAUACUCAAUAGAGAGAUUGAUUAUACUAACAAUUUGAAUUAUGAAAAUUACAAUAACCAAGCACUAUUUGAUAGAGGGAUUUCUUGGCUUUAAUUUGUAGAAAAACAGAAAACUUAGCUUUGUUCUUGGUGAGUAGAAGAGGUAAUGUUAGUAAGAAAUUAUCUAAAUUACUUCGACAUAAAUAUUAAUUUUAAUAAUUUCCUAUCAACUAUUGUUGUUGCAAACUAGGUUUUUUUUCAUUACUGUCAUAAAUAACAGUAAAGAACAGAAACAUUGAAACAUAUUCACUUAGAAAGAGGAAGCAAAAUAACAAGUAUCAUAUUUUCAUACAUAAUCCCCAAAAAUUUCAUUCAUUCAUUAAGGAUUUUUUUUUCACAUAUCUAACUUGUUUUACUUGCGAUAUGUCUAGUUAAAGGGAGUUUUUCUUGAAAAGUUGACUGAGUAUCCCAGUUGAAGAGCAUAUAUUACCUGCAACCAAUAACAUAAUCGAUCUUCAUGUACCUUCCAAUCACAAUAUACAUCAGGAUUGUGAACGAGUAUUAUUCAUGUUAAACAACUCAAAAAGCCCCCGGUUCUCUCUUGAAGGUAACAAGGAAGGGUACCAUUUUCUCCAGGAAUAAUGAACUACCUGGUUCUAUCAUGUAUAGUAACCGUUGCCAGUUUAAUAUCCAUGUAAAUAACAUUUUACUCUCACCAUACUCGGAGUUUCAUUUACUGUGCUCACAAGAAAGGUAGUUAAGAGUUAAAGGUACCUGCGUGCAUUUUUGGGGUACCAGGGUGAAAAAAGAAAAGAAAGUACAGACUUUUGAGCAUAUAAAGACAUGGUCAUUUUUUGUUUCAAAUGUAGAUGUUUACAUUGUUAAAAGUCUUGGUGUAAAUUAUCUAUCAUCUUGAUGUUACGUCUAUUACAGAUUUUGUAUACUCCCCUGCAACUUCAAAGUGAGGAAGGAUGAAAUCUGUUUCGCGAUGCAUAUACGCCACCACUAGGUGCAUUUUGAUGAAAAUUUACCCUAGCCGGGAAAAAGUAUUUUAAAGCUUAGAUGCAAGUGAUGUUUUAACACAUUAGUGAGAAAUCUACAUCAACAAAAUGCACUAAUUCGCUACAAGAACAUCCCCGCAUCUGAAAUGACUAUAUUAAAUGAAUCCUAUGACUAGCAGCUGGCACCGAUACUAUUGAAUGAAAACAAAGUUAUAUUAUGACUGAUAAAUCUUACCAGAAUAAGUGCAGAGCAUCAUAGAGCAGGGAAGCAGUCAUCUUUCGGAAUAUUUUCAGGUUGAAGUUACUGCAGUCAUUUGUUGCACAAGUAUUUCCUCAAUUCUAUCUGUGAAACCUGAGAUAGUCUGCCGUGCAUUUGUAUCCAAUGAGUUUGCCACUUCCUGAAAAGAUGAAAUGAAAUAAAGAUCGGAAGGACAAAAAACUAGGAUAGCGUCGAACCUGUCGAAUAGUUUUCUAACUUUAUGGUCUCAAAACAACUCGAAAAGCCCCUGGUUCUCUCUUGAAGAGUCCGAGCAACUUAGCCCAAUUGUAUAGAUGACUAGGUGGAGUUUGUAGAUAAUCAGUUGAUUAUGUAAAUUACUUUUUGGUAUACCACUUGUAUACGGUCUUUUAAUGGUGGCCGUGUUUAUGACAUGAAAUAUGUUUACUUGAUAAAAAAAAAGGGGUCCAACCAUCCCUUUCUUUCCACAAGAACAACCGAUUAACAUGAAUCUUCUACAUUCAUAUAAAGCCAAUAACUGACGCGUCCCAACUUUUUUCCUACUAAUUUGAAACACUUUUAGGAGGCAAUUUGAAUAGUUUACCCUUUUUUUUUUUUUGCAGGAAAUACCUAAUAUCAGAAAUUUAGGAAUUUGAUGGGUUUGCUAGUCAUAUAAUCUAUAACAGCGAUACAAAUAAGCAACUUACCGCAACCUUACAAAGGAGGGUCAAAGAUAUCUCUUGUGAGUACUGACUUGAGCUCUUGAGAGAC
rnacentral:lncRNA from 1 species